GACCUGAGCUCAGGCAAGGCUA
rnacentral:rRNA from 1 species